CACGUCCUACGGGGCGCAGCAGUGGGGGAUAUUGCACAAUGGGGGGAACCCUGAUGCAGCGACGCCGCGUGGGUGAAGAAGCGCCUCGGCGCGUAAAGCCCUGUCAGCAGGGAAGAAAAUGACGGUACCUGAAGAAGAAGCCCCGGCUAACUACGUGCCAGCAGCCGCGGGAAUACGUAGGGGGCAAGCGUUAUCCGGAUUUACUGGGUGUAAAGGGGGCGCAGACGGCGAUGCAAGCCAGGAGUGAAAGCCCGGGGCCCAACCCCGGGGCUGCUUUU
rnacentral:rRNA from 1 species